rnacentral:ncRNA from 1 species
UUCGGGAAGGUGUCUCCCGGUGCUUUCCGGCUUUGCCGGCAGGAGAAUCGGGAAGGCGGUGCGAAUCCGCCACGUGCCCAGCGCUGUGAGGAUGACGGGCGAUGCACAGGCCACUGCUGCGGCGGGAAGGCGCAUCGUCCGGGUGAAUCCGAGUCAGAAGACCGGCCGGGAGACUUAACACGGC